GUUAGGAAUCUUCCCCAAUGGGCGCAAGCCUGAGGGAGCGACGCCGCGUGGAGGAUGAAGGUUUUCGGAUUGUAAACUCCUGAACAAAGGACGAAAACCCGCAAGGGAAUGACGGUACUUUGCUAACAGCACCGGCUAACUCCGUGCCAGCAGCCGCGGUAAUACGGAGGGUGCAAGCGUUACCCGGAAUCACUGGGCGUAAAGGGCGCGUAGGCGGCUUUAUAAGUCUGGCUUUAAAGACCGAAGCUCAACUUCGGCAGUGGGUUGGAUACUGUAAGGCUUGACGGCUGGAGAGGAGAGUGGAAUUCUCGGUGUAGCGGUGAAAUGCGGAGAUACCGAGAGGAACACCAGUAGCGAAGGCGGCUCUCUGGACAGUGCGUGACGCUGAGGCGCGAAAGUGUGGGGAGCAAACCGGAUUAGAAACCCUAGUAGUCC
rnacentral:rRNA from 1 species